GACGAACGCUGGCGGCGUGCUUAACACAUGCAAGUCGAACGGAAAGGCCCUGCUUUUGUGGGGUGCUCGAGUGGCGAACGGGUGAGUAACACGUGAGUAACCUGCCCUUGACUUUGGGAUAACUUCAGGAAACUGGGGCUAAUACCGGAUAGGAGCUCCUGCUGCAUGGUGGGGGUUGGAAAGUUUCGGCGGUUGGGGAUGGACUCGCGGCUUAUCAGCUUGUUGGUGGGGUAGUGGCUUACCAAGGCUUUGACGGGUAGCCGGCCUGGGAGGGUGACCGGCCACAUUGGGCCUGAGAUACGGCCCAGACGCCUACGGGAGGCAGCAGGGGGGAAUAUUGCACAAUGGGCGGAAGCCUGAGGCAGCAACGCCGCGUGCGGGAUGACGGCCUUCGGGUUGUAAACCGCUUUCGCCUGUGACGAAGCGGGAGUGACGGUAAUGGGUAAAGAAGCACCGGCUAACUACGUG
rnacentral:rRNA from 1 species